ACCAAGAGCCAGCGUGUUUGUGAUGAGAUCCUAAAAGAGCAGAGUUACAGCUAAGACAUUUUUCUUCUAACAGCUGUGCCAUUCCUGAGCUCCAAAAGCUUGGGGUUACAAUUACAUCCUUGGGAAUGAGCCCACUCUCAGAUUACUGGGAGUAGCACAGUGAAUGUGAGACACAUCUCUGCAUCAGAGCACAGCAGCAUGGAGACACUUCUGAGCCCUUUUUAGAUGAAGAACUGAGCAGGCUCCAGGACUGGAGAAGUAAAAGAAGAAAUACCAGGAGCUGUCUUUGCCAAAUAAUGUUCUGGUGAACUCCAGAAUCCUCAUAAAUGGACCACAAACAUGGUGAUGUAGUAUUUCUGAUAAAGUGGACCAAGAGAAAAGCAAGUCUGCUGAGAGGCCUGGCUUUGCAGGAACAAGGGGACGCAUUCAGACUGCCACAGAAGGAGUGCAAAACCAAAAACAUGUCUCUUUCUAGGGUAAACAAAAGCUCUGACUUAUAAUGAGGAUCCGCUUUCUGGAAAUGACAUUGUUGGCAAUGGGACGGUGGAACUUUGGAAAAGUCAUUAAAACAGCCUGCCCUUCCUGAAAAAGUAUCCCUUUGCAAGCCAUCUGCUCAGCCUGGAAAAGCUUUGUUCUUCUCAGAGGUCAUCUGAGGAUUUGAAAGGAAAGAACAUAAUCAAAAUCAUGCAGGGACAGCACUUCAUGCCAGGCCAACAACCAGCCUAGACCUGCCAUCAAAGAUGCAGGAGCAGAGUCGAUCUCAGAGCUCAUGUGGGGUGGCAAUAAAGUCUGCUACACGAGCAAACUUUGU